GCCAGCAGCCGCGGUAAGACGUAGGAGGCGAGCGUUAUCCGGAAUUAUUGGGCGUAAAGGGCGUGUAGGCGGCUCUUCAAGUCUUUGGUGAAAUCUCCCGGCUUAACCGGGAGGGUGCCAGGGAAACUGGAGGGCUUGAGGGCAGCAAAGGGGGGUGGAAUUCCCGGUGUAGUGGUGAUAUGCGUAGAUAUCGGGAGGAACACCAGUGGCGAAGGCGGCCCCCUGGGCUGUUCCUGACGCUGAGGCGCGAAAGCGUGGGGAGCAAACAGGAUUAGAUACCCUGGUAGUCCACGCCGCAAACGAUGGAUACUAGGUAUGGGGGGUAUCGACCCCCUCCGUGCCGAAGCUAACGCUUUAAGUAUCCCGCCUGGGGAGUACGGUCGCAAGAAUAAAACUUCAAGGAAUUGACGGGGGCC
rnacentral:rRNA from 1 species